rnacentral:tRNA from 1 species
GCAGGUCCGUAGCUCAGCUCGGCAGAGCGUCCCCCGUGAAGGGGGAAGGCCAGGGGUUCGACUCCCCCCGGACCGCG